UACGAAGGGGCUAGCGUUGCUCGGAAUCACUGGGCGUAAAGCGCACGUAGGCGGAUUGCUAAGUCAGGGGUGAAAUCCUGGAGCUCAACUCCAGAACUGCCUUUGAUACUGGCGAUCUCGAGUCCGGGAGAGGUGAGUGGAACUGCGAGUGUAGAGGUGAAAUUCGUAGAUAUUCGCAAGAACACCAGUGGCGAAGGCGGCUCACUGGCCCGGUACUGACGCUGAGGUGCGAAAGCGUGGGGAGCGAACAGG
rnacentral:rRNA from 1 species